UGUAUAGAAGGUGUGUAGAAACGAUAUAAAACAAGUCAGUAAAUUGAAAUGACUAGAAAGUGAAAUUUAAAUUCCAUAAUCAUUUUGAUGAAAAUAGUUUAAUUUCAAGUGUCGUUUCUGUCCUUUCCCCAAAUAAUAAUUCUCCUUAAUAUUUAUUUUCUUGGACAGAAAACAUUAAACUUUCAAUUAAUAUAGAAAUUUCAAC
rnacentral:lncRNA from 1 species